rnacentral:rRNA from 1 species
ACGGGAGGCAGCAGUAAGGAAUAUUGGGCAAUGGACGCAAGUCUGACCCAGCCAUGCCGCGUGGAGGAUGAAGGUCCUCUGGAUUGUAAACUUCUUUUAUCUGGGAAGAAACCCAACUUUUCUAAGGUGGUUGACGGUACCAGAUGAAUAAGCACCGGCUAACUCCGUGCCAGCAGCCGCGGUAAUACGGAGGGUGCAAGCGUUAUCCGGAUUCACUGGGUUUAAAGGGUGCGUAGGUGGGUUGGUAAGUCAGUGGUGAAAUCUCCGGGCUUAACUCGGAAACUGCCGUUGAUACUAUCAAUCUUGAAUAUUGUGGAGGUAAGCGGAAUAUGUCAUGUAGCGGUGAAAUGCUUAGAUAUGACAUAGAACACCGAUAGCGAAGGCAGCUUGCUACACAAUUAUUGACACUGAGGCACGAAAGCGUGGGGAUCAAACAGGAUUAGAUACCCUGGUA